rnacentral:rRNA from 1 species
UUUUGACCUCGGAUCAGGUAGGAAUACCCGCUGAACUUAAGCAUAUCAAUAAGCGGAGGA